rnacentral:rRNA from 1 species
GAUGAACGCUGGCGGCGUGCCUAAUACAUGCAAGUCGAGCGAACAGACGAGGAGCUUGCUCCUCUGACGUUAGCGGCGGACGGGUGAGUAACACGUGGAUAACCUACCUAUAAGACUGGGAUAACUUCGGGAAACCGGAGCUAAUACCGGAUAAUAUAUUGAACCGCAUGGUUCAAUAGUGAAAGACGGUUUUGCUGUCACUUAUAGAUGGAUCCGCGCCGCAUUAGCUAGUUGGUAAGGUAACGGCUUACCAAGGCAACGAUGCGUAGCCGACCUGAGAGGGUGAUCGGCCACACUGGAACUGAGACACGGUCCAGACUCCUACGAGAGGCAGCAGUAGGGAAUCUUCCGCAAUGGGCGAAAGCCUGACGGAGCAGCGCCGCGUGAGUGAUGAAGGUCUUCGGAUCGUAAAACUCUGUUAUUAGGGAAGAACAAAUGUGUAAGUAACUAUGCACGUCUUGACGGUACCUAAUCAGAAAGCCACGGCUAACUACGUG